rnacentral:rRNA from 1 species
UACAGAGGUGGCAAGCGUUGUUCGGAAUUACUGGGCGUAAAGGGCGCGUAGGCGGCCAUCUAAGUCAGACGUGAAAUCCCCCGGCUUAACCUGGGAACUGCGUCUGAUACUGGACGGCUUGAGUAUGGGAGAGGGAUGUAGAAUUCCAGGUGUAGCGGUGAAAUGCGUAGAUAUCUGGAGGAAUACCGGUGGCGAAGGCGGCAUCCUGGACCAUUACUGACGCUAAGGCGCGAAAGCUAGGGGAGCAAACGGG